rnacentral:lncRNA from 1 species
AUAGAAGAGCUUUUUGGGUAAUCAUGUAAGUAGUGUAACUAUAAUCAUGGUGUAAGAGGGGGGGGGGUGAAUGGGAUGUGGACUUCUCAUUUGGUUUGUGAGAGCCUUUAUGGGAGAGAGAGAGGGAGAGAGAGAUGAGGUAUCUUUGAUUUGAUCUUUCUGCUAUCUUAACUUUGUUUGUGCCUAAGAGUGCCUUGUAACUGCAUAUGGUGGAGUAAUCCAAGAAUCACUUUUUUGCUCAAUUGAUUCUCCAUCUCAAGAUCUGAGUUUUAUCUUUUUCAGGAUUUUUGGGGAUUUUUUGUUCUUCGCGUGUUGCUGCAAAAUCCGAGAUUUGUUGGAGGCUUUGGUUGCUAGGACCCUUGUGAGAAACUUUGAAGUGUUUCCCUCUUCCAAUCCCUCUCGGAUUUGGCUCGAUUAGGUUUUUCCUAAAACUCAUCUCUUGUGUUCUUGGCCAAGUAUAUGAAAUUCAUGGUGAAAUCUUGAUCUUUUUGUAGAGAUCUUUUGGACAAAAAUUCACCGUGUAUAUGUGAAGCUACAACUAUAGUUUUGUUCGCUUUGGAUCCCGUUUGACUCAUUUUUCAGGUUUGAGUUCAUGGAGUUUUCUUGAGCUCUUUGUGCCCCUCUCCAAAUCCUUUGAAUCUGGUGACCAAUUCUUGGGCUUUUUGAAGUGAGCCUUUAGGAAUAGCCUUGGUAUGUUGUUGUGAGCCUACGAUUCAAAUUUCGUGAUUUUUGGAGGUCGUUUGAUUGAGUUUCGGAUUUUUCCAACUUCUUCACGCAGGCUGUUUUUGGAGUUGCGGAAAAUUCCGGAGGUUUUUACGGAUUCUCCGGAGAAUUUUCCAGAACCUCCGUAGAUCGGAUUCUCCGGAGAGUUUUGCAAAGUUUUCGUACUUUUUUUGUUGGUUUUUGAAUCUGUUCUUUCAAUAUUUGUUUGAGUUCAUUCUUGCUUCCGUUAGUCUCUAAAUUAGUUUGUAGCACCAUUCCUAGGUCCAUUAGCUCUUGCAUAGCUAAGAGGAUUUGAUAUUGCUAGAAGAGAGGUUUGUGGAUUGGUUUGGGAUUCAAGCUGAGGUUCUUUGAAGAAAUUUGAAUUGGCUCCCAUUAACCCCACCUCUGAUCACCCAGCCCAAUUCUUCAAUUGGUAGCAGAGCUUGGUUUAGGAUCACACAACCUUAAUCGAUUUUGUGAUCCACGGGGUGACAAGGUAAAUGGUGUUUUUGCUUGCAGAUUUGAUUUUUGAGAUUCGAGCUUAUUUUUGGCUAAUCCUAACCGAUGCUUUGAGAUAUGACAUCAAACUUUUCUUCUUAUGUUUCAUUAUCCUUAGAUAGUCGAUGCUAUCAUAAACGGUAAACGGUAAACAGUCAGUCACUCUUUGUUUCGCGUUUAGACGGCGUUUAGACGGUCUAAACGAUUUUGUAUAUUUCCAACAAAAAACACAUAUUUUGCAUGUAAAAAUCCAAGUAUUCUAACAAUCAAUAUUUAUAUACAUUCCUGAUUCCUCACACCACAUUCAUAUGAGACAUGAAAACUGAGACAAGCCUAAUAAUUCAUAAUUGAUACACAAAUAAAUAGAUAAUAGUUCUUACAUAAGUGCAUUGAUUCUCCACCUUUCACAUCACCAGUCAAUCACUUAGUCCACAGUUUACAACAAAAGCAUACAAUUCUCAGUUUCACAAAUGAGAUGACAAGUCAAAUGAAAAUGACACAACACAUGAUCAAAUUCAACAGUUCAUAAGUAAAAGCAUUGAAGAGAUCUGCGAGACAUGCAUGACUAAUUGACUAGUCAUCAUCAUCAACAUCUCUCAUUUGGAAAUCAUCAUCAUCAACAUCUCUCAUUUGGGCCAGCCUUGCACUCCUACGAAGAUUCGCACAUUCUUCAACCCCAUAAGUCUCUUCAAUCAAUUUCCAUGUGAGCCCACAUACAAGCUCAGCAUCCUCUUCAUCUCCUCCUUCAAUAAACCAUUCUUGAGCAUGAUUUGCUUCAGUAGACAGAAGAGGAUUCAUUUUCUGGUUCUUCUUAGCUUUCAUUUUUUUCCCAUUUAUCUUGUUAUUGUACUGAAAAAAAUAAGUUGGUUGAGACGCUCACAUGUCGGCUUGUUUCUUUUUUUUAUGAAUCUACAAAGAGUCAUAUAAAAAAUUAAGUUUAGUCUACAAUUUUACCAACCUGAAAUGACAAGUUAUAUAAAACAUAAUUAGAGAGAAGGGAUAAGUUGGGAGGAUUACAUCUUCAAAUCUCUAGUUCCUUCCACAACUUGAAGAACUUGAAGUUAAGGAUAAAAUCCUCAUCGCCAUCCUUUGCAAAGUCAGAACCUGUGUUCCAUAACUGCCCCACCAAUUUGCUGCAAUGGAGGACUACAUGAGCAGUAGAUAGAUGCUAUGUACAGAACAAAGACAGUGUACAGAACAUGACAUACAUAUAUCUCAAUUUAUUUACCAAUUUGCAAUCUCUAAAAUAAUGUAAAGCUAGAAAAAUGAAUUACUUGAGCUAAAAUCAUAUUUCUUGCAGCUAGCCUUUGCUACAGGUUUUCCAAAGUGUUCUUGUUUAUCUCUGAACUUGUGGAGUUCCUCAUUGAGCACUUUUCUUUGCUUGUCAUAGUCACCAUGGUAAAAGAUCUCAACAGCAGUGAUGAAUCCUUCCAUGACCUGCUCACUUGUGAAGAUGGAAUCAUCAUUGUAGCUAUAGUAAGGAUUCAACAAAUACGCGGCCAAGUGCAAUGGACUGUCCAGCUUAUCCUUCAUGUUGUUAUCAAUGAUCUCUAUGACAUUGUUGUAGAAAGCUAGAUUAACUGGCUUCUCAAUGUUCCGAAAGCCCACUUUGAGUUGUUCCUUUUCCUUUACAAUUUCUUCAUACAGAAAGGCCAUGGAUGGCUUUAUAUCACUAUCAAGGAUGCGAAGUACCUUGACCAAUGGAUCAAACACCCUUAAACAAAGUGCAACCCCAUUCCAAAAGUUAGGUAUUAUCAUUGCAGAUGUGGCUAGAACUCCUUUGCUAUUCUUCUUGAUGUGGCUUAAACAUAAGAAUUUGUCUCAUUCAUCACACUGAGUCAUUGCCCUUAGUUGCUCUCUCUUCACAUACAAGCUCUGCAAAGUGAGGACAUUGGAAGCAAAUCUAGUAACAUCAAGUCUCACAAUAUCUCUCUUCUUUGUGUGUUUCCUCAUGAAAGACAAGGUUCUAUGAUGUGAAUAGAUGAAGAUGGUCUAUGACUUAGCUUGAUCAAUGAAGCCUUUCAACUUCUUGAUCUUCCCCAUUCCUUCAAGCAUCAAGUUUAGGAUGUGAGUUGCACAUGAUGUCCAAAAUAUACUUGGCCGCUUCACAAAUAGCAAGUUCUUUGCUGCCAUGUUGUUUGAUGCAUUGUCUAUGACCACUUGCACAAUAUUUUCAGCACCCACUCAUUCAAUACAACCAUCCACAUACUCAAAGAUCAGUUGUCCAGUGUGUGACUCUUCAGAGAAUUCCUUUGAUUCAAGAAAAUUUGAGCCAAUGCUGUAGUGUAAACAGAGGUUCAUGAUGCUUCUCCUCUUCUGGUCAGUUCACGUAUCUGUCAUGAUGGAACAACCAUUCUUAACCCAUUCCUCUUCAUGCAAUUUCAGCAUCUUCUUUGUAUCAUCCACUUCUUCAAACAACAUUGUCUCACGCAACUGAUGCUGGUUUGGUUUCUUUCCACCAGGGCCAAACCGACUAGCCGCUUCUAUCAUUUGAUCAAACUCUAUAUUAUUGAUCUUGUUGAAAGCUACACCUGAAAGCAAAUCAAAAUCAUUAUAGAUCAGAUCAUUACUGAUAAGAAAGUAGAAACACAACAAGCAAUUCAAGGUUAGAACUUAGAAUGGAGAUAUCACCAAGCUGCAAGGUAUAUACUUAGAACUUACCAUGCAUAUAAACCUAUCUGGCAAUGUAGCGCUGCAAGCUAUGCAUUAUCUCCUUCCAUAUUACUUUAGUGAUUAAUUGCUGCCGGAUCACCUUUGUGUUGCUCAGUGAGGCUUGAUCAAGGGGCAUGCUAAACUUAUCCAUAUGCCCUAUUUUCCUAAUGGUCUUCCUCCAGCCCCAUGAAGCUCUUCUACUUCUGCCAUUGUAAUGUCGUCAUCAGCAUCCAGUGCACCAAGGUCCACAACAUCUCUAACCUCUUGCUGCUCAGUUAGCCUUACCUUUUUAACUUGCUUUGAGUCAUCUAUUUCUUUCUUGCACCUUUCUUUGUCCUCAUCUGUCAACUUUUUGCAAGGUUUAACCUGCACAGUUAAAAUGAAAAGGAAGUUCUAUUCCAUCUGCAAUCAGCCAAUCAUGUAGCAAGGAAUCUAAAAUCUUGCUUAAUUGAAUUAUAAAUCAUAUAUUAACCUGGCCACGGAUCCCAGCAAUAUGGAGCUUUAGUCUAUAUAUCCCUGCUGACACUUAGAGACCACACAACUUGCACUUGAUCAAAUUCAAGUUGGCUGGAUCCACCAAGACUCCAUAAUCCCACCCAAUGUCCUUAGAGUUCCUCUUCAGGCUUAUGGGUUUACUGGUUGAAAUAGAAGGAUUUGACGCAACAGAUGACAUCCUGCAAAUGAUAGAGCAGUCAAUCAAGCAUUAGCCUAGUAGCAGAUCAAUUUGCAUAGAGUAGUAGCAUAUAAACUUGCAAUUUGCAUAGAGCAGCUAGUCAAGUAGACAAUUAGUACUACAGACUACAAGAUGUAGCCAAUAAAGUAGUACUGCAAUAUGCACGGUAGCAGUGCAGCCAUAUCCCAUAUUUAAAUUAUUCAUGAAAUUAGUACAUAAAUAUCUUCUAAUUCCUAACUUGACAACUUGUACGUCGUACCUACUAGUGAGCACAGUACAAGCUAGGCAACAUCCAGUAGCUACUAGCUAGUGAGAAACUAAGCAUAUCACUGAACUAGGGAACAUCCAAUAGCUACUAGCUAGUGAGAAACUAAGUACACACACAUGGUUCAUGGAGAAACUAGUCACUAAACAUACGCACAUCUCUGAAAAUAAUCCAUCCGCACAUCACUGGAGAGUGUAGACUCAUGUAGUACCUGGAGGCUGCUGCGGUCGGAGACUUGGAGUUAGAGAACUCGGAGGAGGUUCACCAUGGCAAGCGCCAGCGCAACGCAGAGUGCGUGCGACGAGAUUGGUUGCGUCGGCACUUGCACAUGGAGUCCACAAGAGGGUCCAAGCCACGCCUUGCUACUGUUCCUAGACAGCACAUACACGGCCUUAUGGAGUGGAGGCACAACAGAUGUGCUGACCACCCGCGGCGGAUGUGCUGGCCGCCCACGACGAAUGUGCAGGGUUUGUGUGACGGCGACACCAGCCUAGCGGCGGAUGGAAAAGGAAACCUAAAUGCAAAAACGAAAUGGACCUCUCAUAUAUAUAUACACCUGCGAAUUGGGCCAAGAAUGGGCGCCAUUUUUGCCGCGUUUGUGGCCGGCCAAAAAUUUCACUCCGCGCGCAGGAGUUUUAUCAAUUGAACGGCCCGUUUAGCCGGCCCAGCUCCAUUUAGAACCGUUUCGUCUUGCCCAUUUUCAUUGUUUAAAGCCGUUUAAAUGGCCUGACCAUUUAUCUGACCGUUUAUGUGCUAAACAAACGGGAGGAUGUCAUUUUCAUUUUUUUGAACUGUUUAAACGGCCGUUUAGCCUGUUUAGGCGAACACUGCAGAUGGGAGGAGUUCGAAGAUUGAGUUGGAACCAGAAGUGGAGGCUAUGAUGGAUCUUCUCGAGAACUACCAGGAUGGUGACCUCACGAAGGGAGAGUUCUACCGCGGUCUAAGAGACAUGAGCAAAGGUAUGCUUGCAAAAUGCAUUAUGGUUCUAUGCAAUCAUGUUAAUGAUUGUGAAGAUGAGAAUGAGAGAUACAUAGAGCUUUGUGAUGCUUUGCGUAGGAAGAAUGAGAAGAUGAAAUGUUCUCUUGCUAGGUUGAAAUAUGGAAUUGCUCAUUUGAAGUCGCGUGCUUUAAAUCCUUGCAAUUCUUGUGAUGCCUUGCUUAGAAAGAAUGAUGAAUUGAACUCAUCUGUUGAUUGCUUGAAAUCUGAAAAUGACAUGUUGAAAUCCAAUAUUGGUAUGCCAUGUAAUUCAUGUGUUGCUUUGAAUAAUGAUCUUCAUAAGGCUAGAGAUGAAAUUGCUUUAUUGAAGACUAAUGCUACUUUGCCAUGUGUUUCAUGUGAGUCUUUGUUUGCUGAAAAUAAUGAAUUAAAAUUGACUCACACCACAUGUGUUGAACAACUUGAGCAUGCUAGAGCUAAAAUUUGUGAAAUGAAGUCUAUGCCUUGUAGCAUGUGCUCCUUGAUUCUUGAUGGCGAUGCUUCCCUUGCUUCUUGUGAUAAUCCUUGAUGUGAAUGAUGAUAAUUGUUCAUGCGGACCUAUUUGCACAUCAUGCAUUGAAUUGGAAUGCGAAGUUUUGGCUUUGAAGCAAAUGCACGAUGAUAUUAGCACCAAGUUGGUUAAGCACAAUGAGAUGAGUGCCAAAAGUUGAAUUCUUGUGUACCACAUAUGCUAAGUGCAUUGAAAAGGAGAUGGAUAAUUUGAGAAAUGCUCCAUGUGGUACUUGUGAUCGCCUCAAACAUGAAAAUGAGGUUUUGGCCACAAGAUGCAAGAGUCUUUGUACUAAGUCUUUUGAUUCUCGCAAUUCUUGUCAUUCCGAUGUUGGUGUUUCUAAAAUUGCUUCUUCUCAACCGGAGAUGGCUUCUUCUGUUGAGCGUGAGUUUUUGGAGUGUAGUACUUGUGCUAGUGCUUUGGAUAGCUCUUUUAUAGCUACUCCUUAGCUUGUUGCUUCUUCCGAUAUUGCUCAAGAUAAUUCAAGUGGCAAGGGUGCUUCUCACAUUUUUAGAACUCAUACUCCCAAACCGAAGUUCCAUUGCACCUUUUGUAAGAAAGACGGGCAUACCGUUGAGUUUUGCUUUCGCCAUGUCAAGUAUGAGCGACGUGGGCAUGCUAAAGCUUUUAAGAAGUCAGUUAGCCUUUCUCAUGGCAUGUGUGAACCUAAUGUGAGCACUAAGUCAAACGAUGUUGUUGAUGCUUCUUGCUCUAAGUCCCAGGACUUCUCACUUGAAUGAGAAUGGUGAUUCGUCUUCUCGAACCGUACCUCCAAAUAGGUCUUUGUACCAUUACUCUUAUUGUGAGAAAGAUGGGCAUCAAGAGGGCUUUUGUUAUCAUCGUUCAAGACAAAUGCGGCGAACUCGUGAUUCUAGGUCUUUGGUUGUUCAUAGCCCGUCUCAUGGCAUGAGCAUUUAUGAGUCCAGUAAGAAGCCACAUUUCAUUGAUGGAUUUUAUGAAUCCUUUUCUAGUGAGUUAGGUCAUGCACGUGGACAUGCUUCUAGUUCUUCUUAUGUUGGUCCACGACAUGGUUCUCAUGGUGCUUGUGUUGGUUCUUCUCUUAAUACCUCAGGGAAUCAUUGUCUUUUUGCUAGUGGUAGCACUCGUUCUUUUUCUCAAGUUGCUCCUUUGAGGCAUGGUUCCAAGGGUGUUCCAAAAUCUUCUCAUUUGAACCAGCAUUUGUAUCAUGCUAACCCACAUGAUAAGUUGAGUGCAUCUUUACCCGUGUGAUUAAGUUUUUGAUUCCCAAGUAUAUGCUUGCUAAUUCUUUAGGAUUCAAGACUCGGUCUUCUUUGUCCUCUCAUGUGUAGGUACGGGGAUGUGGAUGUAGAGUAUGAGCUCGAAGUGACUUGAUCUUUUGCUUGAGGUGAUCAAGGCUUGAUGGUUCUCCACACCUUUUGGAUGACCCUCGAGAGGGCUUUGUACACUGGUAUAGUGAGUUUUUUCUUUUUUUAUACUACUCAUUUGUGGACUUAUUGCAUGUUUUGCACUUGUAUCAUGCUGUGAAUAUAUCAUGGUAGGCUAGUCACCUUUUCAUGUUAGCAUGUGUGAUCUUUAUGUAUAUCUUAUUAUGCUAGCUUUGUAAUAUAUCUUGGUGGAUGAUCCACAUGAACAUUGUGCCUUGCUUUAGCUUAGUCUUCAUAUUGGGUAUGGCAUGUUGUUCAUUUGGUAUCAUUUUAGCUUAGUAUCUUUAUAUGGAUCCUUUGCACCUUGUUGACAUGUUUGCUUGCCCAACCUUUUAUUCAUAAAUGUUGAAUCAUGUUGCAAUAUUUUAAUUCCUCUCAUUGGCAUUAUCAUUGCAUUGUAUAGCAUGAAUUGAGCUUUAUCUUGCUUUUUGGCUUAUCUUGUCUUUGGAUUGCAUUUUGCUCCUUCCUUUGGAUUUUUUCUUCCUUUUAAUUGGUGUUGGAGGUUUUCUUUUGCCCCCUCCUUUAUCUAGCUUUUCUUUGCUAAGUGUCUUUGCUAAGUGACUUACUUUAGUUUUUGAUAUCCGAUUUUGAUCUUUUAAUUGGUAUGACAUUUGAUCUUCCAAUUGGAUUUCAUUUUCUUCAAGUGAUAUCAAUUUUUAAUCCUUCAAUUGGUAUCCCCUCUAUGGUACUCAAUUAGGAUCAUUUGUUGUUUUUCUUUUACCACGGAGAUUUUCCUAAAUUGAUUUGACCUCUCAUUAGCUUUCUUCAUUUUAAUACAAACCCCAUCUCUUUUAGCAUUGCAUUACAUUUGUACCAUAUUGCACCUUGUACACUUUGCACUAGAUGAGUUUCUCCUAUAUAUUCUUAGCAUUUCCUUAUGCUAUUUGUGAACUAGUGCAUUGGUUGUGAUUGCAUAGCAAUGUGUAAUUAUGCUCUUGAUGAUAUUGUCUUAUAAAUAUGAUGAGAUAGCUAUUUUUGAAUCCAAUGCUAUUUCUAAGCUAUAAACUUGACUUGCUUAUCACCUAUGAGCAGUUGCUUGGUUAUGCAUUGUUCUUGCUUGAAUGCUAGUUCCAUGUUUAGCUUUUGCUUGGAAUUCAUAUUCUUUUCAAUUGGAUCAAAAAUCUAGGUAUCAUUGCAAAUGUUUAGCCCAUGAUGCAUUUCUUGGGGAAGCAUGCCUUAUUUGUGCCGCAAAGGCACUUCAUGUACCUUGUUUUAUAUGAAUGAUGAAAAAUGAUGAUAAAAAAAUUCAGUAAUUCAUCAAGUUUUUGUGCUUAAUGUUGAUAUUCUUGCUUGCUUAGUUGUUACGAGAUAUCUACCAAAAGAAGUAGGCACUUGGUUUCAACAAACUUUCACAUGACUUGUGAUGCAUACGUGGGUAUUUGCAAUGAUCUCUUGUUGAGAAUGUAUCUUGCUUGAGUGAUUCAUGACUAGGUGCUUGCUUAUGUGGUGAUACUUUAUAAGCUGCAAAACUUGACAACUUGCUUCGUUUUUUGUUUAUUUCAUAAUAUCCUAUUGAUGGUGAUGCAAUUGAUCUUUAUGAUCUACCUGCUUGUGCAUUAUCUAACCUGUAGCCUUUGUAAGUGCUUUGUGAUAUUUGAGAAGCUUGUUAGGUUGUACACCUCAUGGCAUGAAUCUUGUGCUCCCAUGUGAAUCUUGAUGUUUGCAUUUAAGGGGAGUCUUGCAUUUAACAGGGAGUCUUGCAUUUGAGGGGGAGCAUGCAUUCUUUUGCUCUUGUGCAUGCAUUUAAUUGUGGCAUGUUUUUAGGAGGAGUGCAUGUUUUCAGGGGGAGUGCAUAUGUUCAGGGGGAGCUUAUGAGUUUUGUGCUCUCUUUUGCUUUUUUGCCGAUUGUGUUGAGCUUUUACCUCUUCUUGAGGAACCGGCAUUUGGUUUGAGCUUUCGAUCGUUACAUGAUUGGUAUUGAGCCCUUUCUUGAGGGCUCAUGUGUUUUCGAUCUUCACAUGAUUGGUUUUGAGCCCUUUAUGCCUCUUCAUGAGGGAUCAUGUGUUUCUUUAUAUUGGUUGUGUGGAGCCGUUGCCUAUGUCUUUAGGGACCGAGACUUUUCCAAGUUGAUUUGGCCUUUGUGAUGCUUCUCAUGCCAAGUGACUUUAAUCUUUACCUUUACAUGGCUUUCGAUCAUUUGGAUGAGAGUUUUGCCUAAUUGGUUUCACAACUUGGCUUUUAUGGCUCUUCUCAUCUCAAGUGACUUUGACCUUGGCUUUUAUUUGACUUUUGAUCACUUGGAUGAGAUUUUUGGCUUUUGCCUCUCAAACCAUUUCUUUGUGCUUGAAUGUUGUCAACACACUCAUCAAGAGGGAGUUUGAGAAAAUCAAGUUGAUAUGAACCUUGAUUUGAUUGUGAUGAGCAUUUGACAAAUGUUGAAAUAGCUUUGAUGGCAUUGUGGGAUUCAUGAAGCUUUUGUGCCUUUUGCUUGACUCAUCUUCGGUUGUGUUAAGCCUUUGUCUCUUCUUUGGGAACCUAGAGUUUUUUGUUUGGAGCUUGCAUGAUCCUUUCUCAUAUCAAGUUACCUUGUGUUUGCUUUUACUUGGCUUUUGGGCACUUGAAUGAAUUCUCUUUUGCUUUCAAAUCAUCUUUUGUCAAUGCACUUAUCAAAGGGGAGAUGGAGAGACCAAGUUGACAUGUGCCUUGGUCUAUUUGUGAUGAGUGAUUGACUGGAUGAUUUGAAACUUUUCUGAUUGAGUCAAUAUUUCAUAUGUGCAUGAUUAUGUUAACGGCUAACCGAAGAUGUUUUGUUGUGUGCGUUGAGUUGUGGUGUGUGUAAAACAUAUCUUGUGUGUUGUGUCUCUUGGCUUGUGAUGUGCAGGUGUAGGAUGCGACAUGGCGGAUGAGAUGAAGGUCAAGCGAAAGGUUCAUGCUGAUAUACUAAGGCUGUGAAGGGUGGACACGAGUAAGCUUGGACUGAGGGACUCGAGAAGUUCGAGCGGAGUCAUGGGCGAACCACAUAGUGCACGGAAGAGUAAGAGUAUACGGACGAGAUGGAGAUGGCGUCGGUUGAGUCAAGCGUGAUGGAGGCGAAUCGAGUAGGCGGCCCAGGAGCCGGGAGUAAAAUACUUGGAGGCGUCGAAAGCUUGGAGAUCGAACAUGCGUCGACAUUGGUGAGUCACAUCGUGCGCGGCGUGCAAGAGGGUUUGACCAGUUUGACCUCAAAAUCAGGGGUGAGUCACGGUCGCGAGGUGUGCAAGAGGGUUUGACCGGUUUGGCCCCAAAAUCGGGGGAUGAGUCAGGUGCGGCUGGACGGCGUCGAGUCGGAGGAUGCGUGGCACUAUCGCGAAGCUUGCGUCGAGGCGAAGCUAAGUCGUGAAGGCACUGGGUCUGUCCGAUGUACGAGAAAAAGGUUGGACGAUUUUACCCCUGGGGGUAUUUGGGUUGUAUGAUUAAUAUAAGAGCAUUUUGGACAUUUGCCAAAUGUCUAUGUACAUGAGGAGUGGUUGUUGGGGCAGCCACAUCUCUUUGGAGGUUAUGGGAGAGAGAGAGCUGAGUGAUCUUUGAUUUGAUCUUUUUGCCAUCUUAGCUUUGUUUGUGUCUAAAAGUGGCUUGUAACUAGACAUAGUGGAGUAAUCCAAGAAUCAAUUUCAUGUUCAAUUGCUUCUCCAUAUUAAGAUCUGAGUUUUAUCUUUUUCAGGAUUUUCGAAGGUAUUUUUGGGGAUUUUUGUUCUUCGCGUUUUGCUGCAAAAUCUGUGAGAUUUGUUGGAGUGUUUUGUUGCUAGGACCCUUGUGAGCAACUUUAAAGUAUUUUCCUCUUCCAAUCCCUCUCGGAUUUGGCUCGAUUAGGUUUUUCCUAAAACUCGUCUCCUCUUGUGUUCUUGGUCAAGUAUAUGAAAUUUAUGGUGAAAUCUUGAUCUUUUUGAAGAGAUCUUAUGGACAAAGAUUCAUUGUGUAUAUGUGAAGCUACAACUAUAGUUUUGUUCGCUUUGAAUCCCGUUUGACUUAUUUUCAAGUUUCAGGUCAUGGAGUUUUCUUGAGCUCUUUGUGCCCCUCUCCAAAUCUUUUGAAUUUGGUGACCAAUUCUUGUUCUUUUUGAAGUGAGCCUUUAGGAAUAGCCUUGGUAUGUUGUUGUGAGCCUACAGUUCAAAUUUCGUGAUUUUUGGAGGUCAUUUGAUCAAGUUUCGGAUUUUUCCAACUUCUUCAUGCAGGCUGUUUUGGAGUUGCGGAAAAUUCCGAAGAUUUUACAGAUUCUCCGAAGAAUUUUCCAGAAACUCUAUAGGUGCGAUUCUUUGGAGAUUUGUGUGGAUUCUCGAGAGAGUUUUGCGGAGUUUUCGUACUUUUUUGUUGGUUUUCGAAUCUCUUCUUCUGACACUUGCUUGGGUUCAUUCUUGCUUCCGUUAGUCUCUAAAUUAGUUCCUAGCACCAUUCCUAGGUCCAUUAGUUCUUGCCUAGCUAAAAGGACUUGAUAUUGCUAGAAGAGAGAUUUGUGGAUUGGUUUGGGAUUCAAGUCGAGGUUCUUCAAAAAAAUUUGAAUCGACUCUCAUUCACCCCCCUCUAGUCGUCCAUCCCGAUCCUUCGUCAACCCUUGAC